rnacentral:lncRNA from 1 species
GCGACCUUCUGUGGCCACGAGGGGGACAAGUAGCUGUCACGUCAAAACGAUGUGCCGUCCAGCUCUUGGAAAACAGAUUUUAAUGGACCAACGAAAAACGUCUAUUGAUAAAUAUGAGGAGAGAAGAGAUGCCAUUGCUUUACCUCCAUACAGAUGAAGACGGCUGAGCUGAAGCGAAGGCCGUUCACAGAAUGGUAACAGGUUUUGUUAAAAGCUUUUGACUCUUUAUUGCCCCUUGAGACGCAACCCUGGCUCCAGUGCCUCUGUUGCGCAGUAAGUCGGCAGAAAGUAACGGGCUCUCGAUAGCUCAAAUCCACUAUUAAGUGGGCUUUGGGUAUGGAACCGGGCCAGAUACUUACUGUCAAUCUACCAUGAAGGUAAUGUGUUCCUGCCAGUCAGUAGUUAUGUGCUAUUAAAAUCUACCCUUCUAAAGCUUAAUUUUUGUAUACGUGGUCUCAUUAUGGAUAAAUUGAGUCAUAUUUAUAGCUGUGUAUCUAACAAAGUGGCUGCUUAGUAUAUAAUGAAUACAUUUUGAAUGUAACAAAUGUAUGUAUGUAGUCCUUAUUGUCCAUAGAUAACAAGAGGACUACAUGAGAGUUUUUGGCAUGAGAUUUUGAAUUGCCUUUACAGUUAAUUGGAUUCAAAUGUGAAUAUGAAUAUUUCCAUUAGACGUCAAGGAUUCCACUUUGAUGGUUCAGACACACCUGUGGAGCAGCAGCGGCUUGACUUCAGGAAGGUGACUACUCAGUGUGCCUCAGGGUUGGAGACGAUAUUAUUUCCAGGAGCUCUCAUGAUCCCUCACCACCUCUCUUCAUGUCUUGAUUUCCUGUUCGAGCAUUUCAUCCGCCUUACUUCCAUUAGUUUGUUUUGUCUUUUGCUUAACUGAUGAAGACAUUGUUUUUUCAGUUGUAUUUUUUAUUUUGAUUACGUGCAUAUGCAGCGUAAUGUCCUCGUUGUGCAUAAUCACAUAUGAAAGAUUACUUUGGCAAUUGCAUUUGUGGUGAGUGCUAUAUCAGUUUUCCCACAAUCAAAUCACUCUGAUGAUCAUAUGAUAAAGGAAAGUGUUUGUCUGUGUCGAUCCAUUCCCUAGGAAAUGGUGAUUUCCUUUCCUGUUCACUCACAUUUACAAACUGAAAAUAUGUAAUGGGAGCUUUUACUUGACUAUUCAGCUGGUGUCGAAUUUGACAUGCUUGAAACAGAAAAUGUAAUAAAAUAAAGCUACAUAAAAUAAAAUUAUUUUC